rnacentral:misc_RNA from 1 species
UACAGUAGAUGCGUAAUUUAAGACCACUUCCUGUUUCCUUCUUUCACCCAUUUCAUAUCCCAUCGGCCGAUUUUGAAAACAUAGAAGAAAAGUGACUUAAAUUCGCCAAAGUGUGUUAUGGCAGAAGGCAAAACGUCUGGACAGACUGUAGCCGUCACUCAGACAGUCACGGACACGGGGGCCAAGAGCCCUUCACUGGUAUUGAAGUUGAAGAAACCAAAGAAUGACAAGAAAGUGAAAUGGACAACAGGGACAGUGGACAAUGAACAUAUGGGAAAGAAAAAAUCCAAAUGUUGUUGCAUUUAUGAAAAGCCAAAAAUAUUUGGGGAAGAUUCCUCCUCUGAUUCUGACUCAGACGGUGAAUGUGAUCAUUGCAGAGGCCACACUCCAAAGGACUUCACACAAAAAGGAGACCCAGGAGACACUUAGCCAGGAAACCAUAACAACAGUGAAGGGGUGUGGCCUGUCUGUCGAUUGAACAGUGGGCAUGGCCUGUCUGUUGAUUGAACAGUGGGUGUGGCCUGUCUGUUGAUAUCAACUUGCUGUAUCUCAUUUUGUAUAUAUUACAUAGAAGUACGUUGAGGUGACUUGUACAUAAAAAGUCUGCAGAUUAUAUGACUGCUUUAUGAAGAACAAGUACUUUAUUGGUUGGAUAUUAAAAUUUAAAUGGUUUCAUAGAGUUUGAGACAGGAUGUGUGCUGUAUAUCAGGGAAAAAAUCUUGCUAUACUAGUUUAAAAUGUCCACUGUGUUGUCAGCAGGAAAUCAUUUCACCAGUUAAAGAUAUCUACUGUGUUAAUUACAGCUGGCUUCAUUGUCCAGAGCUGCAGCAGAUUUGUGAUUGGCUGAUUUGGUACUGUACUCUUCAAAGUCUCUUUAAAACACGAUUGCUUACUGCUCACCAAACAUAACUUUUUGCAGGUGUAGAAUCUCAUAAGAGCUUUAAGUGCAGUGAAUGAAGUGCUAUAAUAACUAUUACACACCAAAUUGUUAGAGAUUGACUAUUACACACCAAAACAAUUGCAAACAUAUAUAUAAUUUGUAAAUAUCAUUGGAAAAAAAGGGAUUAGAGGUAAAAGUUUGGAAACAAUUGUCAUAUAAACAGUUGAUUACUUUUCAUCAUAUGUCAUAGUUUGCAGAUACAUUUCAUCUGAUAAAAUUACAAAAUCUUGUAAAAAAAUGUUUAAAGUGUUAUCUGUUGAAUUUAUUUUUAAUGGAUGAACAUAGUAUCAGCUGCCCUCCUUUGACUGUAUUUUGAAGAAUCUUUCAUUUAAAACUUGUGUUUAAAAGGAUCUCAGCUGACACAUGUACUUCUGUUAAUUUAUUAUUAUUAUUAUUUAUUUAUUUAUUAAUUUUUUUAUAAAUAAGACUAUUGUAAUGGAUGUAAUCAGUGAAUAAAAGUAAAAACUGGAUGUUACAUAUAUUUGAGUAUUGGAUAUUUCUUCAUCAGUCUGUCCUUACAUCCACACACAUAUAUGUACAUGC